CCGUGGGCAGUUGAGAAGACAACAUGGAGCAGCUAGGUGUUCCUCCUUCCUUCCUGAGAUCCUAAAUGAAUUCAUGACAUAACCAAAUGAGUUGUUCCGAAAUGGAGGCAAGCUUUUUUUGUAGAACUACGGCAUGGAUGGAGAAAUUUAUUUGUACUGAAGCUAAAGAUCCAGCUGCAUCUUUAUGAAUCAAUGGCAGCACAAUAUGAAGUUCUGCACCAGCUCUGAGUAGCAGAGCAGGAGAGAUCUCACAGUCCAGAGAAUGAGUGGCUUCGGGACUUGAAGUCAUUUCACUGAAUCAGACUGCUGAAUUCUAUAUAGAUCUGCAUGACAUCUAGCAUGCUCUUGAGUUGCCAUCUUGUUUUUGUGACAUAUUCUUUAAGUUUGUGAAUUAUUUUUCUGCACCAUCAGACUGUUGAGGAAUGCUUGUAGCACAGAUGUGUGACGGUCAAGCUACUGUAAUAAUCCUUUGAGCUCCAGUUGUUGUUUGACCUACAAUUACAUUUCUAGUGUGUUUGAUAAGAAAUAGCUGAGAGCGUGAGAUUGCAGAUGUGCAUGUUGCUGGCAUUAUCAUAAUUGAGACAUUCCGGCUUGUUUAAAAAAAAUGUAGUGAAUGUGCUGAAGCUUUCAACUGGCAUAACACAAACACCCUGUGUUUACUCUAAAUGUCUGCAUUUGCAUCGUAUGCAACCUUGACUAAAAAAUCUUAGUCUUUAUGUUUUUUUGAUUUUUUUUUUUUCUUAGAAACAUUUCUCUUCAUCUAUACUAACCUGCUGCCUGAGGCAGAAAGCAGAUUUUGAUUCUGUCUGUACUUUGCUCAUUAGUAGGGGAAGCAAGAUCCAAGCCCCUGUUGAACUAAUACCUCAACACGAGUCUGGCCUUAAACUGUGAUGAAGGCACCCUGAGCCCUGUGAAGCAAGUGGUAGCUGAAGCAGCAGGAGGAAUAGAGCGGGUUUCCCUUUACCCCUCGGGUGAGGAUGUAAGCAGUGUGGAGGUCUGUGCACUGUCCCAGAGCUGGAGAGAAGCGCACAGGCAGCCCUGGAGGCUGAAGCCAAGAACAGGGAUCUCCUGGCUAUCUGGUAAAAACUGACUUUCAGUCUAUUCACUAGGGGAAAAGAGACUCGUACAGCUCUGUUGCUGUUUAUCUGCCUGUUUGUCUCCUAGACUUGAUCUUAUGACCGUAUGAAAUACAUGUAAAAGAAAAAAUUCAAAGAGAAACAGAAGCUUAUGACUUGGGGUAUGCAUGUGGGUAGAGGAGGCCCAGGGAAAGCUUGCUUCUGGCUAGGAUCAGCAGAACCACGUGUGAGAGAAAGCCUAGAAAUGGCAAAAUAGCAGGAUGCUGUUCCAUCAAAAGUGACAAUGAGAUUCCAAAGCGUGUCAAUCAGGCAUUGUUAUUCAUGUGGUUUUGCUGUCUCGGUAUCUUCAAUAUUGAGGUGUACAAUUUAGAAAUCCAACAAAAAGAGCUUGCUCCUUGUGGAUUUGGUCCCUUAUUUCUGUAGCUUUUGUACCACUUUGGGAUUGUUUAGUCAGUUUCACCACCUACAUGUUGGAAGCUUUGCAUUGUUUGCUAUCACCCUCUUUCUACCUUUUCCAGCAAUGUAUAUUAAAAAAAUG